AAUAUUGGGACAUAUAAAAAAGAAAACUCUGUUCCACAGAGUAGCUGUUGACAUUAUAGUUGUGCAGGCACUUUGUUGACUCUAGAGAACCUCGGGCCAAUCACACAUCCCCAUGACGGCGACUUUGCAUUUAGAUGUCAUCCAUAUCAACUUUCGAUGCCAGUUUCUGCGCCUACCAUGGUGACCACGGGUAAUGGGGAAUCAGAGUUCCAUUCCGUACAGGGACCCUGAGAAAUGGCUACCACAUGCAAGGAAGGCAGCAGGCACGCAAAUGACCCACUCCCGACGCGGGAAGGUAGUGA